rfam:Dipodomys ordii contig_64398, whole genome shotgun sequence.
GGUGGCUCAGUGGUAGAGUGCUUGCCUUGCAUGCAUGAGGUCCUGGGUGCAAUUCCUCAGCACCA